GCCAGGCAACCGGCAGAGACUAAGUUAGCAGGCAAGACACCAAAGGUGGUGAUGCCCUCCCUGACCCAGUGGUCAUCGGCAGACGUGGCAGCAAACAGAAGGAUCCUGCUCUAUGCACUGUUUUGGAGUUCUCUGUCCUGAUAUGCAUGUAGUGGGCAGGAGUGCCAGAGCAUUUCUUUUCUCUUUAACUACAUGAGCAGGAGGAGGAGGAGAGACAUGUUACUGACCAUAACAACAGUUAUUGCUGUUGGAAUAUAAAGAUACAUCACAACAGCUUUAAUGAAUUCAUUUUCAACAGUGUUUUAAGACAGACAGACAGACACUGGAAUUUAAAAGAUACUGUUGUACGCCUCUAUCCUUUCCAAACACAGUACUCAUAGAUCUUUUAUGAACUUGACACUCAGAGGUGAACCAGCAGGUUCACACAUUUUCCCUGUAAUGGGCAAGAAAAGACACAGACAGGCCAUUUUACGGACAACUUCUUUAUUUGUUGCUGUAGAACAUGGAUGUUUCAGAGGAAAUAAUAGAGCACCUUCAGUGAUGAACGGGGAGAGAUUUGUAGCUGCAGAGCUUUACUGCUCGUAGCGAGACAGGCAGAGGAAGGCUGCGUUAAAUUUGCAGUCCACACAGGUGCUCGAAAGCAUGAUUUAAACAGAUUGUGGGGGAGAUUUAAGCUCCCGCCUUUGCAGGCAGAAAAUUCUGUAAUGCAGCUUCUCUUCCAGCCUCAUUAUGACAGCUUCUUCUGUAGAAAUCCUCACUCAUUGUUGUAAAUGUAAAUCGCCUCUGUAGGAAUACAUUAUAUCAUCAUCGGAAAAUAAAGAACAAAGUGCGGCAGUGAAUCUGUGGGGCUUUGUCACCUGAGCACGAAGAAGUGUCAGAUUUCCGAUUUUCUACAAUAUGCUUGAAAAGACUGCGAAUCGCUUAACAGAAUAAAGAUGAAUGAACGUC